GCGUCGGUGCCAGAGUGGUCAAUUGGAGCGGACUGUAAAUCCGCCGGCUUAUGCCUACGGGGGUUCGAAUCCCUCCCGACGCA
rnacentral:tRNA from 1 species